AAGAAAAAAUGAUCAGAAGAAAUUCCACAGAAGAAACAAAACUGUUCCACCAACAUCUGCAAAGGUGUUCGGCUACAUCAGUGAUCAGAGAAACACAUGUAAAAAAACCCACAAGAUUCACAAAAUCAAAAUGGUAGAGCGUCCCAAGCAUAAACGAGCGUAUGGAGCCGUGGGCACUGAGCCAUCUGCUGGCUGGCAGGACCUUUGCAGAACAGCUGGACAUUGUGUAAUGAGGUUAGAGGGAUGCACACCCAAGACCCAGGGAUUCCAUUUCUAGGAAUGUACUUCAGGGACCUGUUGUGUAAGAAUGUUUGUAGCAGCAUUUGCAGGAAAAGAAGGAUUUGUCGAUGCCUGGAGAUGCCCUGGCAGAUAAACAACAGAAGGACGCCUAGAUUGCGGUGUAGUCAUCCAGUGCCGACCACAGAGCACCGAAGAGGGCCUGCAGCUACGGGACCAGCAGGAAAGCCAUUAACAGACUCUUGAGUAAAAGAAACAAGCCACGGCAGAUGCAGGUCUGUGGAACUAGAACAGCAUCUGAGAUGACCGAGAAGCCGUUGGAGGCGCCUGGCACAGGGUCUCGGCCACAGCUGGAUCUGAAGAUGGCCCUCAGGGUGCUGUGGGGCAGCCUGGGCCUGCUCCGCCUGGUGUGGUGUCUCCUUCCACAGACGGGCUAUGUGCACCCGGAUGAGUUCUUCCAGUCACCUGAGGUCAUGGCAGGUUCGUCUGAGAGCUGAGGGAAUCCAGGCCUGGAAUGCUCACUGGUUAGAAUUUAUCUGCCGAAGGGUGUAGGAUACAGCCUGAGGGUGGUUGCCAGGGACUGUGAGGCUUUUCAGAUGCUGUGGGCACUUGGCUUCCUCCUCAUGGUUCAAGAGCACGGGGCUCAAACUUACAACCCCAAGAUCAAGAGUCACAUGCUCCUCCAACUGAGCCAGCCAGAUGCCCCUUUAAGGGCAUAUUUUGAAUGUCAUAUACUUUUUGCUCGUUUCCAUCCGGUUGGUCAGAAUGUAUUACGUGGACACACCCAGCUGCAAAGGAAGCUGAGAAAUAGUCUUUAUGGCUGACCAAAUGCCCAACUAAAUAAAUGAAGGAAGGAAGGAAGCGAUGGAUACUGGGGAGACACGCAGCUGGCUCUGUCAUAGGACUCACAGCUGGGUUUGUUUCUUUAGGUGAAAGUUUUUUUUUUUUUAAAGAUUUAUUUUUAUUUAUUUAUGAUAGACAUAGAGAGAGAGAGAGGCAGAGACACAGGCAGAGGGAGAAGCAGGCUCCAUGCAGGAAGCCCGACACGGAACCCGAUCCCGGGACUCCAGGAUCACGCCCUGGGCCAAAGGCAGGCAGGAAACCGCUGAACCACCCAGGGAUCCCCCCCGCCUUUUUUUUUUAGGUGAAAGGUUUUUAACCUGAGCCAGUAAAAAAAAAAGGCAGCCAGAUUGAUUUGACCUUGAUUUUGUUUCCCUUUCACCUUAUUUUUUUAAUUCAUUCAUUCAUUCAUUCAUUUCAGAGAUAGAGGGUUGAGGGGAAGGGGCAGAGGGAGAGGGAGCCCCAAUCUCAAGCAGACUCCCCACUGAAGGCAGAGCCAGAGCUGGGCUCCAUCCCAGGACCCUGAGAUCAUGACCUGAGCCGAAGUCAAGAGUCGGGUGCUUAACUGACUGAGCCACCAGGCGUCCCUCCCUUUCACCUUCUGACAUAGAGAAAAUGGCCAAGAGGGCGUGGGGAUACACAGGAGAGUAAAGAGCCCGAUGUCCGCCCCCUGCACACCCCUGCCCCCCGCCAGCCCCUCAGAGCUCUGAGACACCGCAGCACGCAGGCACAGGCCGGCCCCAGGCUUUUCACUGCAUGACUACCGCCUGAAUGCAUCCUUCUAAGCAUCCCACGUGCCACAGACGACACCACAGCCACUUCUGAUCGUAACCGCCAUCGCUCGUUCCCUUCCCUGGUCUCACAUGCAUGUCCUGGACGACAGCCACCAUCACAGGGAUGGGUUUUCGACCCUGACUGUGACUCUGCCUCUGCUCUAGCACCCCAAGGAGAGGACUGGAGCCUCCCCCUGCCGCUCCCCACACCUGGCCCAGGGCACACUGUCCCCUGACUUCCUGGGCGCCAUCCCUCCUGGCCUUGGAAGGCCUGAGCUUCCCUACACUCGGUCCCAUCGCUGCCUAACCAAGCACGUCCGUAAUCCAGAAGGCAGGUACGGGCGCUCACUCAGGCCACAUCUCAGGCUCGAACUCGAGGCCUGGGAGGUGCCGAGCACCCAUCAGGAGGCCACGGGGACGGUGCCGCAGAGCCCGGCCUUCCCUGCUGCUGGGGGCCUGGGGGCCACCGGUGUCCCGGGCAGGCCCCUCACUCUCAGAGCCAGCGGCACGCUCAGGCCCUCGGGGUUGGGGUCCCGGGUGUCCUCCCUGCCACCAGCUGGGCUCGGGCGGCGGCAUCGGGCCCUGGGUCCCUCCUGAGGCGCAGCUCA